CGACAGGCCCGAUUUUUUUUUUUUUGGAAUCUAGAAAUGGGCAAAAAUGGCCCAACAGCUUAAUGGCUCUCUAAAUUGGUUAAUUGGUUAAUGUUAAGGAAAUAACUAGCCUAUUUUAAAUAGAUAGUGUUGGUGGUGGUUUCAAACUUUGGAAUUUGGAUAUAUCUACAAACAUUAAAAAAGAAAAAAUUUGCAGCUUCAAGCCAAUAGAAAGAAAAUAAAAUGUAUGAAACACUGUUGUCCGGCUGAAAAUUACAACCCAAUAAUAAAAACUGCAAACUUAGACAAAAUACAAAUUACAUUGUCCCAUUAACAUUAUAACAAACAUGCAUCUUUGUGCAUUCAAAAGUUCAUAAUUCUUGAAGCCACUUUCAUAAUAGAAAACUGUAGAACAUCCUUGCAUCUUCUAACUCUCAAAACCUACAAACACAAAAUUGAAACAUUAGCAAUUGUUGAUUGAACAUGAAUAAUUAUUAGAGUUAUUAAUAAAAUAUCUAAAUGACAACAAUUGUUAACCUAUCAAAAAAAAUUAUACAACUAAUUAUAAAAAAAUUCAAUUCAUAAGAAUUAUCAUAAUACAAAUAAAGCACCAUCCAACCGGGAAAAAAAAACAGGGGAGAAGAAACUGAGAGGAGAAAAUUCAGAGAAUCUCCACCCUCCAAGAAGUCCAUCUCCAAUCCCCCGAUCUUUCUUCCUGAUGACCCAGCUCGAACUGGGUUACUGGAGCACUGUGAUUGUGAGGGAAGGAAAACCAAGACCAAAACCAAAAAAGAGAAGGGAUGAAAGAUCACUCCUCUCUUUCUCUGUCUCCCGUCUCCACCCAAAACAAAACCACUGUCCCCACUCCCCACUCUCCCACUGUUCCGAGCUCUCUCGCUGCCCCCCCACCUCUCUN
rnacentral:lncRNA from 1 species